rnacentral:rRNA from 1 species
UACGAAGGGGGCUAGCGUUGCUCGGAAUUACUGGGCGUAAAGCGCACGUAGGCGGCUUUCUAAGUCGGGGGUGAAAUCCUGGAGCUCAACUCCAGAACUGCCUUCGAUACUGGAAAGCUCGAGUCCGGGAGAGGUGAGUGGAACUGCGAGUGUAGAGGUGAAAUUCGUAGAUAUUCGCAAGAACACCAGUGGCGAAGGCGGCUCACUGGCCCGGUACUGACGCUGAGGUGCGAAAGCGUGGGGAGCAGACAGG